rnacentral:rRNA from 1 species
UACGGAGGGUGCAAGCGUUAUCCGGAAUCACUGGGUUUAAAGGGUGCGUAGGCGGCCCGUCAAGUCAGAGGUGAAAUCCUGCAGCUUAACUGUAGAAUUGCCUUUGAAACUGCCGGGCUCGAAUAGAGUUGAGGUUAGCGGAAUGUGACAUGUAGCGGCGAAAUGCAUAGAUAUGUCAUAGAACACCAAUUGCGAAGGCAGCUAACUGGGCUUUUAUUGACGCUGAGGCACGAAAGCGUGGGGAGCGAACAGG